rnacentral:rRNA from 1 species
AUCGAACGCUGGCGGCAGGCCUAACACAUGCAAGUCGAACGGUAACAGGAAGCAGCUUGCUGCUUUGCUGACGAGUGGCGGACGGGUGAGUAAUGUCUGGGCAACUGCCUGAUGGAGGGGGAUAACUACUGGAAACGGUAGCUAAUACCGCAUAACGUCGCAAGACUAAUGAGGGGGGCCUUCGGGCCUCUUGCCAUCGGAUGCGCCCAGCUGGGCUUAGCUAGUGGGUGGGGUAACGGCUCACCUAGGUGGCGAUCCCUAGCUGGUCGGAGAGGAGGACAGGCGACACUGGAGCGGGGACACGGUCCAGGCGCCUGCGGGAGGCAGCAGUGUGGAAUAUGGCGCAGUGGGCGCAAACCUGAUGCAACCGGGCGGCGUGUAAGAAGAAAGCCUUCGGGUUGUGAAGUACGUUCAGCGGGGGGAAAGCGAGUAAGGUUGAUACCAAUGCUCAUUGACGUUACCCGCAGAAGAAGCACCGGCUAACUCCGUG